AACUGCAAACACCUUUGUUUUAUAAGAUGCAGCAGUAACACCUUCCAAAUCAAGGUGAACUGAAACAAAAGAAAAGUCAGUGGACCAUAUAUUAACAUUGACGGAAGGACGAAAGCUAAAUGAUAUGAAGAAUAAAUUGGAAGAGGAAAGAAGUUCUGCUUCUUUAAACUACACAAUACUAUAUCAAGGAGGUCAGGGAUUAGCUUAGUUUAAAAAGGAGAAAGAAAUCUACUGCAAAGGAUAAACACAAUUAAGAGAGCAAUCAGCUCCUAAUAAAUAAUCUGGAGUAAUAUAAGAUACACAACGUAUUGCUUCAAAAAAGGAGUGUAAAGCAUCCUAAAUGAAUAUUCCCAUCAUGGAGCUGAGUCUGUAGGAAGGAAGGAAAAAGGAAAAAGAUUUGAAAUACGCUGCUAAAGGAAACAGUGGUGACUCUUCAGCCGUCUUGUCUAGGGGAAAAAGGAUAUCUUGAAUACAACUCAGGAAAACCAUCCAACUUUUCUAGAAAACAAAUUUCAAAGGUCUCCUAAGAAAUAUUGACAUCAUUACAUUAUGGAGGCCAUCGUCGGGCAAAGGAAUUGAACACCAAAUAUCAAUGAAGCUUAUCAUCUACAUGAAAGCUUUUUCAAGCUGAAAGGAAAAGGUUAUCUUCUGAAAUAUGAACUUUCUGGAAAUGCCAUGGCUUGAAAAACCAUAAAGAGAAUGUCAGCUUCAACUUUAUUAAGCAAGAAACCCAGAACAAAAAGUCUAGUGCAAUGUAAGAAGUAUAAAACAUAUUUAUUUUUCACAAAAGCGUUUAAAAUAUCAUAGCUUAAUAUGAGGUGGAAGUGAGUCCUUGGAAGUAGUUUCUGUACCAAGAAAUAAAGUGGAAUUCUGAACUGUCCAAGUAUCCAAAGUGGUUAAAUGUUUUAAAGACAAUCUUUGUGGCUUUGCAAAUUUAACAGAAACCUGAUUUAAUAAAACGAGAUUAAGCAAUGCAUAUGUAUCAAAAAGCUCAGUCCAAGGCAAGGAAUCUAACAGAAGACUCUGUUUCAAAAGAGGAGAAUAAGAAACAUUAUAGAUGAACUUCAGAAACCUGGAAGAAAGUCUUUAUGAUGCAUGGAUUGCUAAGGAAAACAGGUACAUGGUCACUUUUUCUGGCUGCCUCCUGAAAUGGUUUCCUCUUUCACUCUGAGGUAAUUUCUUCAGUUUUAAAAAAAGUCAUAGUCAAUUCCUUCUCUAAAAAUGUUAUCACCAGACAUGGAUGCUCUUCAUUUAAUAAACAGGAACGGGUUGACAAUUGUGUAUAUAAGAUACAAAAUAAAUGCUGCUUUUGUAUGUUUCUCCAGCCAUGCCUAUAGCAAAUAUUCACAGCUCCACAUGGAGAGGAACAGAGUAAGUAACUAUUGACCUCCAAAAACAAACUGUAUGGAGUUGAAGCUAAAUUUGGUGAGAAAAAGAUAAGUGUGAGAACUUUUAUUGUUAAUAAUAAUAAUAAUAAUAUUUAAAGACCUCAGCUACACAGAGAUGAGCUUUAUACUUUUCAUGUUAUUUAUCUAAUAUUGGGAUCACCUAUGAAUAUAGGGUUCAGUGGAUCAUAUAUUAGCAUAGGUCAAAGAACAGAAGCGAAAUGAUUUAAAGAAUAUCAGUUGGUGAAAAAAGUUGUGUUUCAUUUAAAAUGCACAGUAUUAUAGCAAAGUUGUCAGGUGAGAUUUAAAAGAUAGUUCUAGAACAAAAGGUUGCAUGCUCUGGAGAGACUUAAACACAACAAUCCCGCAGAUGUGAUGCACAUUGUAGUAUUUCUAGUUCUACGUGUUCUGUUUUGCCUGGCUCUCUAAAUAACGUUUGAGCAGGAAAAGGAUGAAAGUUCAAGUUUCUGCCAAUGUUAAGAAAGGCACAGAUAUGCACUAAAAUACGUGACACAAGGUACUGAAGUCAUCUUCCUUCAAGAAUGGUAAAGUGAAAAGCAUUUCCAAAAAACAUCUCCAUCAUUUUGGUAAGUCCCUAAAAGGUAGGUCCAUUUAUUAGGAUAAGAAGAACAGAUUCCUGGUUUUCCUUCGCUUGACAGCCACUAAGACCUAGGAACCGGGAAACAUUUAUUACAGUUAAAGGGUGACACCAUCUUUUUAUAAAUGAGCUCUUUGUAGAUUUGAAAGAAAAAUGUCAGGUUAAGAAGAAAUGGGAUCCUUCUGUUCUCUGAAGAAAGAGCGAUACAUCUUUAAGGUAAAUUUUCAGUUGCAAUAAAGAGCAGAAUACACAUAUUGACAAGACCAUUUUUACUUGCAGGGUUUAGUUUAGUUUAAAAGGGAUAAAGCAAUCUACUGUGAAGCAUAAACAUGAUUCAGAAAGUAAUCAGCUUUUAAUAAAACGUAUGGAGUAAAUAUAAGAUGCCAACAUAUUUCUUCAGAAAUGGAGCGUUUAGCAUCAUAAAUGGAUUUUCCCAUCAUAAAGGUGAGUCCGUAGGAAGAGAGGAAAAAGGAAAAAGAUGUCUGGUUAAUUUCCCCUGGUGAUUGGCAUGUUCAAAAUCCUAUGUACCAAAAAUAGUGGUUAACCACUUUUAAAAGCAUAUAUGUGACUUCUCUGCACAUUUAAUAGGAAACUAUCCAAUACAACGUAUAGAACUCAUCUUCCUUCAAGAAAGGAAAAGUGAGAAGCAUUUCCAAUGAACAUCUCCAAAAUUUUGGUAAGUCCCUAAAAGGUAGGUCCUUUUAUUUGGAAGAGAACAGGUUCCUGGUUUGCCUUCACUUCACAGCAUCUUGCAACUAAGCACCGGGAAAUAUCUUAUGGUUAAAGGGUUACACAAUCAUUUUAUAAAUGACCUCUUUGUAGAUCUGAAAGGAAAUUUUCAGGUUAAGAAGUGGAAUCCUUCUGUUUUCUGAAGAGAGAGAGAGAAAGAUCUUUAAGGUAAAUUUUCAUCUGCAAUAAACAGAAGAAUAUAGAAUUUGACAAGACCAGUUUUACUUGCAGGGGUUAGUUUACUUUAUAAAGGAUAAAGAAAGUUUGACAGUAGACCACCCCCAUACGCAAACGUCAUUAUUAUAAUGUAUUAUAAUGUAUUAUAAUUAUUGUAAUGUGUGAAAUGUUUUGUUCUAUGUGGAAAAGUUAAAAAUAACAAUUAAAAAAAAAAGGAUAAAGAAAGGAUGAAUACGGUUCAAAAAGCAGUCAGCUCCAAAAGCAAGUUUCGAGUAAUAUAAGAUGCACAACAUAUUUCUUUAAAAUGGAGUGUAAAGCAUCAUAAAUGAAUAUUCUCAUCAUGGAAGAAAAGACAGGAAAAGAUUCCUAGCCAAUUUUUCUUGAUGGGUGGCUGACUCAAAAUCCCAUGUACCCCAAAUACUGGUUAACCUUUUUAAAGAGCGUAUUUGUGCUUUCUCUGUUGAUUUAAUAGAAAACUGAACUUUCUGGAGUCAAUGUUCAAAGCAGUUCACCAAAGCAUCAGUUCAGUCCAGAGCUGCACAAAGACGGCAUUACAUCCCCACUUCCAUGAUGUUUUUCUCCGGAGGAGCCAGCAAGGAACGUGGCACAAGAACUGGCAGGGGAAGAGGGAGCAUGGGUGGUGCGCUUGCGCAUGGCUCUUGCUCAUGGCAUGCCCAGGCUAGUGCUGACUGCCACUUUUGGGGUCGGGAAGGAAUUUUCCUCCAGGGCGGAUUGGCCUGAGCUCCUGGAGGUUUUUCGCCUUCCCCUGGGCACUGAGCAGGAGUCACUUGCUAGGUGAAUUGGCACAUUCAGAUCAGUUUUCAAAAAUCAUCUUAGAAAUAAUGAAAAUAUUAAAACUAAUAAAGAUAAACCAGCAUAAAUACUAAUAAGAGAUAAUAAAAGAAAAAUAAAU